rnacentral:tRNA from 1 species
GAUGGUAUAGCUCAGGGGUAGAGUGCAUGCUUAGCAUGUGUGAGGUCCUGGGUUCAAUCCCCAGUACCUCCA